ACUCCGCCCAGCGCCGCAGGGGGAGGAACUCCGGGGGAAAGCAUGAGGACAAAGGCGGAGGAUGAAACCAGAGACAGCGGUGAAAACAUCAGCCAAGCCCGCUGAAACUACUUUACCUCGCAGCAGGUGAUCCACCUGCUUGCUGUAAAUCUGCUGGUCCGGGUCCAGAUUCCUCACCGACCGUGUCUGACUGAACGGGGCCCGGGGACCCGCUGACAAAGAUGCAGCAGAGAGUAGACUGAUGUUUCGGCCCCGCGUCUUCCUCGCGCACUGAUAACCAGAGUCCCCGGAAAGUCACGCGGACGUCGCCGGCGCGCGCGGCGCUCCGUGACUGCAGCACAUCGGUGGCCCGGAGGCGGCGGGUCGGCACGCUUCCCACUGCACAGCUGCGCGCAUCCUCGUGGCGUCCUGCCCGCUGAGAGUUCACCAUUCGCCGGUCCGAGCCCCUGCAGUUUGCGGUCCCUUCUGAGAAGUUUGGGACCGAGUGGAUCAAAUAGUUCAACAUUAAAUGAGAAGAUACAGCGGGAGUGUUUUGCAUUAAUCCACAAUAUAUAUUUUUUUCUUUAGUGAAAUUCUGAUUUUAUGUGGAUCCAAGUUUAAAGAUAUAACGAUGAUCUGAUCAGACGCCCUGACGGAGCGCACGUGAUCACGUGUGCUUUUAAUGUGAAUUCCGGAUUCCAGCUUCCUCAGGUGGGGUCUCCAGGAGUGUGGAUAUGACAACCCGGUUCGAAUGUAUCCUCCAAGGGUUAGUGACGGGCCACUGACGGUCCAGAACCACGAAAAGACUCACAGCGCAGCCGGAUGGUCACACUGCUGCCCCCUGCUGGUGUGGAUGCUCACCAACAAAUAAAGGGACAGCUCGCACCUUGAACUUCAAUUCUAGUGGAUAAAUCCACUUACAUUAGACGGUCUAAUGCAAGUGGAUUUAUCCAAUAGAAUUUUAUAGAGUUGGUCUAAUUUAGAACAACUUCCAAAGUAUGUAUAUGUAUUAAAAAAGAUGAGGAAAUGUUGUUAUUGUUGUUUUUGGUUUAGGAAAAUUAAAAAAUAAAUAACCAAACCUCCCAUG